UUUCUGCUGAGGACGACCGGUCCGCCCUCUGGGUGAGUAUCUGGCUCGACCUUGGCAUCUUCUUGAAGAACGUAACUGCACUUGACUGUGUGGUGCGGUAUUCAAGACUUUUACUUUGAGGAAAUUAGAGUGUUUGAAGCAGGCGCAUGCCUUGAAUACAUUAGCAUGGAAUAAUGAGAUAGGACCUUUGUUCUAUUUUGUUGGUUUCUAGAACUGAGGUAAUGAUUAAUAGGGAUAGUUGGGGGCAUUCGUAUUUAACU
rnacentral:rRNA from 1 species